rnacentral:rRNA from 1 species
GGGAAUCUUCCACAAUGGGCGAAAGCCUGAUGGAGCAACGCCGCGUGGGUGAAGAAGGUCUUCGGAUCGUAAAACCCUGUUGUUAGAGAAGAACAAGGACGUUAGUAACUGAACGUCACCUGACGGUAUCUAACCAGAAAGCCACGGCUACCUACGUGCCAGCAGCCGCGGUAAUACGUAGGUGGCAAGCGUUAUCCGGAUUUAUUGGGCGUAAAGAGAACGCAGGCGGUCUUUUAAGUCUGAUGUGAAAGCCUUCGGCUUAACCGGAGUAGUGCAUUGGAAACUGGGAGACUUGAGUGCAGAAGAGGAGAGUGGAACUCCAUGUGUAGCGGUGAAAUGCGUAGAUAUAUGGAAGAACACCAGUGGCGAAAGCGGCUCUCUGGUCUGUAACUGACGCUGAGGUUCGAAAGCGUGGGUAGCA